rnacentral:lncRNA from 1 species
CUCACUCUUGUGUACUUCUUUUUUUUCUUGUACCCUUUCUUUCAUCUUCAUCUUCGUGGGGUCAUUAUUUGCUCCCCUCCCACUUUCUUUUUUAUCACAAAGAGUGUUGGACUCGACCUCCCCUUGCUGAUGUUGGUGCUGGUUGGAAGCCAUUGUAGGUUUGUCAUUCGAACACAGCUCCGAUGGUAUUGUUGUGAUGUCAUCCUUGGGCUCCCCAAAAAAUUUCUUUAGGAGCGAAACAUGGAACACCAGAUGGACCCGGUUGGUAGCCGAUAGGGCCAACUCAUAAGCAACAUAACCAACAUAAGGGUGGAGGCGUGGGAGAACCCACUCAUCCACGUUAAAGGUAACAUCUUGUCUCCCACUAUCUGCAUGAGCCUUCAUUCUUUGUUGAGCAUAUGUCUUAUAUUUUGUUUGAAAUACUCAAUAAGGUUGUUCUAUCUCGUAGGAACUCAUCGAUGUUCGAAGUUGUGGCUGAGAAUGAAACAUAUUCCCGAACAGAAGGCGAAGACCGACCAUACAGAGCCUCAAACGGGGACAUGUCAAUGGCUUAAUGUUUGCUUGUGUUAUACCAGUAUUCGGCCAUAGCAAGGUGUAAAAACCACUUCUUAGGAUGAUUACCCGUGAAGCAUCGAAGAAAAGUUUGGAGUAUGCGGUUCACAACCUCAGUUUGGCCGUCAGACUGUGGAUGGUAAGCAGUGUUGUAACUCAGUUUUGUGUCCAAAAGUUUAAAAAUUUCUUUCCAGAAAGUACUAAUGAAAACCGGAUCUCGAUACGAAAGAAUGGUUUUGGGUAUGUCAUGUAGUUUGCAGAUGUCACUAAGGAAUCGGUGAGCCAAGGUCUCAGCCGUGAACUUAGUUGGUAAGGCGAUGUAGUGAGCAUACUUGGUCAAUCUAUCCACAACCACCUAGAUGACAGUGUGCCCAUGAGAAUGAGGUAAAUGAGUAAUGAAGUCCAUUGAUAAAUCCUCCCACACCUUUUCUGGAAUUUUCAAUGAUUGUAGUAACCCUUUAUAUUUCUUUGGCAUGUAUUUAUUGUAUUGGCAGGCUGAGCAAUUACAAAUAUGGGCCUUGACAUCCUUUGCAACCCCAGGCUAGAAGAAUGAGGUAGUGAGGCGACAUAGUGUUGGCUUCCACCCAGAAUGGCCUGCCAUGGGGGUGUCAUGGAAUUCUUGCAUCAAAUCAUGGCGCAAACGGUCAAUAUCAGGUAUAAAUAUUUUUCAAUUAUAGAAUAACAUUCCUUGAAUAAGUUUAAAUUUGUCAUUCCAUUUCUGAUUUGUUUCAUGGUUUUGUAAGAGUUUAUGUCCUUCUGGUACAACAUAGUAGUAGUGGAGUCUGUCCAGAACCUGUGGAAAAGGGGAAGAGAUUGCUGAGAAGAGUGGUGUCUUAGUUUGAUUGCACUGAGAAAGAGCAUCAUCCACCCGACUUGAGGUACCAAUACGAUAUUUGAUGUCAUAUUCAAACCCUACUAGUUUAGUUGUCCAUUUAUGUUGUUCUGAACCAUCGAAAGAUAUAAGUUGCAAUUUUGGGGGUCUAGGUUGUGUAGGUGGGUGAGUCAUUGGGGUGAGGAUGGGACGUGUAUAAGGGUGGCGAGGGUUAAAAAAUGGUGGGACAGGGGUUUGGGUAAAGGGUGGGUAUGGGAAAGGUAUUUGUGGUGGUGUGUUGGUAGGGGAAUUAUGUAAGUUGUUGUUGUUGUUGUGAGAAGUGGGAUUAGGGUUCUGGUUUGUAAUGUGUGAAGAUGAAGCCAUAUUAGGAGGGUCUGAAGGUUGUGGGGGUAGUGAAGAAUGAACAUUCAUACCUGAUAAUUUUUCAGUUAUGGCACGAAGGGCGUCAACAAUGGCCUCAUGCCUUGCAUCUUGUUGUUCCUUGCUUUCUUGUAAUUUAUCUGCAAAAGGGUCUCAUCAAUCUCCUUAUUGGAGGCCUUGGGAGGCAUAGUUCAAGAAUGAAAGCAUCAAUUGAUAAGAAAUGACUUAGCACCAGAACUUACAGACUACAAAAUUAGUUAAGAAAGCUAGGAAAAUAAACUCUGAUGUGCAGAUAAUUCAUUGUGCCUUCAAGAAUGAAAGCACCAAUUGAUAGCGAAUGACUUAGCACGAGAACUUACAGACUACAAAAUUAGUUAAGAAAGCUAGGAAAAUAAACUCUGAUGUGCAGAUAAUUCAUUGUGCCUUCUCCAUGACAACUUUUAUGUUAAAUACUAACAAUAGGAAAUUAGGAUAUAGAAAGAAGGUUCUACGGGCUCUUAGUAAUUUGGUCCAUUUGAUUUAAUUACAUACUGCAGAAUUAAAAAUAAAUCUCUAAACAUAAUCUUUUAGUCAACUCGGUCUUUGUUUGUCUUUGGUGGGUCUUUGUGGAUAUUCUCCCUCAACAUCUAUAUUUGGGCUCCUAUCAACGAGCUACGUCCAGUUUCUUGGUGACAUUAAAUUUCCACUAUAAUUAAUCAUAGAUUACUUACAUGAGUAUUUUUUGCACACAUCAAUUCAGACUCAAUAUAUAUGAGUAUUGUUUGCGCAUCUACAUUAUCUAGGCUCAAUACAUACAAGUAUUGUCUGCACACUUUUCUCUACAGGCUUAACGCUAAAAUAAAGUAUGCAGAUUUGUAAUUAAAAUUACAAGGUGCAAGUGUUUAAGAUCACACUAAAAGGCGGAAUAAAUAUGAAGAUAGAAAGGUUGCAUAGUAAAUAGCAGAUGAUUAAAUCAUAGGGUAUGCAAUGCUACGAAGUGAUAAAUGCUAUUUUCAGAGUCAUGAAUAAAGAAAACUUUCAAAGAAUGUUUUAUGAAUGCAAAAAUUUAUCUAAGUCCUUUCUGUCUUGAUUCUUCAUGGUUGAGACUUUUUAUAUUUUGUCCAAUUAAUGUAGACGUUACAGUAGUCGUUGCAAACUUGUAGAGUUCUCCAUUUGAAUUAAAUGUCUAUUGAGGCAUUGCUUGAUCGAUUAUUUCUUCUAUUUUCUUCUUCAAAUUCAUUAAUGUUUCAUAAUCAUUCUCAGCAGCAUUAUAUGCCUUAGAGCAGUUGGAACCACCUGAUGACAUGAGAGACGCUUUUUUUGUUGUUGCAAAGUAGUCCCGAAAACAUGGUACAAAGGAUUGCUUUUGUCGUUGCCUAAGUGAACAUUUAUUUUAUAGUAAUAAAGGGUUUUUUUUUUUUUUAAUUUUAUUUUGCAAAAUACAAUGUUCUGAUAUAGGCUGGUCGGUAUUACAUAGUGAAGA